rnacentral:misc_RNA from 1 species
AACACUGUUAACCUGCGGUACCUGCGGAGGGAUCAUUACUGUGAUUUACUACUACACUGCGUGAGCGGAACGAAAACAACAACACCUAGAAUGUGGAAUAUAGCAUAUAGUCGACAAGAGAAAUCUACGAAAAAACAAACAAAACUUUUAACAACGGAUCU